rnacentral:rRNA from 1 species
GAUGAACGCUGGCGGCGUGCUUAACACAUGCAAGUCGAACGAGUGGCGAACGGGUGAGUAAUGCGUGACCGACCUGCCCCAUACACCGGAAUAGCUCCUGGAAACGGGUGGUAAUGCCGGCUGGUAUGGGAUGGGGUCGCGUCCUAUCAGCUUGAUGGCGGGGUAACGUCCACCAUGGCUCGACGGGUAGCCGGCCUGAGAGGGCGACCGGCCACAUUGGGAAUGGGGGACGGACCAGACUCCUACGGGAGGCAGGAGGAGGGAAUAUUGGACAAUGGGCGCAAGCCUGAUGCAGCGACGCGGCGGGCAGGAUGCGGGCCUAGGGGUUGUAAACUGCUUUUAUAUGGGGAUGUGUCCUUGAGUAAUAAGGACCGGCUAAUUCCGUGCCAGCAGCCGCGGUAAUAC